UAAAGGAAAGUGGGAUAUAUUUUAUUGAAGUGCUCCCACGUAGGGUGCGAAAUAACAGAGAAAUUUCAUUUCUAGGGAACUUUGGAUGCUGUAUUAGCUUCACAUAAUAGUUACAUAAAUCAAAAGAUUUUUGGACUCUCUUUCGGAAGCGUACAAUUUCUCUCUCUCUCUCUCUCUCUCUCUCUCUUUCUCUCUCUACUGCUCUCACUUUUUUGACUGGACCAUCUGAAGAAAAACAGGAAGGGAGAAGAAGAAAAGAAGAAAGGAAGGAAUAAGAGAGGGAAGAAGGUCCACGACCGGAUCUUAUAAUUACGCUAAUUAGGCAGUAACGUGUAAAAAGAGCGGCGCGAGUAUUUAUCGCAAGGUAUCGUGGAAGGUAUACGGAGGUCGGCAAAGGAGGACGUCGUACGACAGAAUACGACAGGAAAGGCUAUAAUACAGUUUUGCCGCGAGCAUCAGAAGCAACAGCAGCAGCCACGGCGGAAUUGUCUUUACGUUGGAAGUCAGAUACCAAGUGGGAUGAAGAUGACUAGUCGUCAGCUCCUAAAUUAACAAGAUUGGUCAUUGUACUUAUAAUCUAAAAAUCUGUAUCAACUUUAAACGUCUACCACAGCACUGAGCUCUCGUCAAUCUAACAUGCCCGGCCCGAGUAUCCUCCAAGAUUUACGAACAACGAGGGAUACUCGAGGAACCUCAUCCUCCUUUAUGAAAAUUAGCCCGUCCCUGCAUAAGACGCGCCAACGCGUUCCCUUUGCGCGUGUCCCUAACCAGUGAGGGGUGGUGGUUCAUUCAAGCGGAAUUAUCGUUAUCGUUGGUUUCCCGUUCUAUUUUUCCGUGGGUGUGUAAUCAGCAACCGACAAACCCGGACUGAACGUGUGUGGUUGCUACCCGUCAGAGAUUUUUCUCUCAUCAGGCCAGAACAGCCCGGGACUGAGCGUUUAUGGGUACCUUUGCUGGAUGGAUUCGUCGGAUGGGGAGGGUCGUGGGAUAGGGGGGUUGGGUAGCGGCGGUGGCGGCGACGUGAGGGGGAGAGAGAGAGGAAAGAGAGAGCCUCGGCUGGAUUACGGGUCGGUCGAGCCGUGGCGGGGGUGGGGGGAAGGAGGAAGCGGUCGGCGCGUUUGAUCUCGGCCGCGGGCGCCGACAAAGCGUUCAUCCACUCUCCUACAACGGCGUGCUGUCUCGCGAGCAGGAGCGCGACAAUACUCGCCAAGCAAAGCACGCGAGAGAGACAAUGGAUAAAACGAGCCAGCCGGUAAGGUAGCGUAAUACAGAGCAAGAAGGAAGAGAAGCGGAAAGAGAAAGCUUGAGCAACGCCGGACGAAUGGUGCGCCGCGGCGCGCUGGGGGAAGGGAGAAAAACACAGAGAGACCGGAGAACACAUGGAGGGACCGAGAGAAAGAGCCCUUCGAUCAGACGAAGAGGAUACAAGUGGAAAAAGCGGGACCGACGAGCCAAGGGAAAAGAUAGGGAACGGGUGAGUGUAACUGCAAACGAGAGAAGAAGAGAGGGAUAGGAAACAGAGAUGGUUUGUUGGAGAAAGAGAAAGAGCUAGAGGAAGGGAGGGAGGUUGGAAGGAAAAGAGGAAGGGGGAAAAGAUCCGAAGAUCCGUUCCACGAUCUGGUGCUGUCGCGCUCGCUUUAGCAUGGCACUGCCACUCCCUUGCGCCGGCCACACCAGCUUUGCUAUUAAUAAAUAAUGCUUCGUGAUCCGCAUUACAACUAAAGCGAUUCGUUCCGCUUUCGGCUCUUUAUUCCUGAUAUCUUCGAACGCGUGGAUAUCCGCGAAAUCCCUGUCUCUUCCGUAUCUCGCGUCGGAUCGACGAUCUUUUUUAGUGAGUCGCUGAAUGAACUGCCUGCUCCCGGUUCGACCAACUUCGUAUAUGACUUUAAGCAACCUUAUGCCUCUUUCUCGGUUGAGUUACGAGAGUCGCGCCGGAGAGGUUCUAAUUUAGAGUAUUAGAGAAGCAACGACGUGCGAGGCGGUGAACAUGGUUCACGGAAACACAGACGCGUCCAUUUGAUGGGUCACGAAACUGCUGUUUGUAAUAUUUCACGUUUAUGACCCGUAUGCGAUAAUGACGGCGGUCAUCAAAGGAUGAUAUGUUAAAUUUAACGCGAAUAAAAAACGUUCGGAUGAUUGAACGGCAAUUAGAAUAUCAUUUGCGUUAACGUUAUUUACU